rnacentral:rRNA from 1 species
UACGUAGGUGGCAAGCGUUGUCCGGAAUUAUUGGGCGUAAAGCGCGCGCAGGCGGCCUCCUAAGUCCGAUGUGAAAGCCCACGGCUCAACCGUGGAGGGUCAUUGGAAACUGGGGGACUUGAGUGCAGGAGAGGAGAGUGGAAUUCCACGUGUAGCGGUGAAAUGCGUAGAGAUGUGGAGGAACACCAGUGGCGAAGGCACUCUACUGGGCCAUUACUGACGCUGAGAGACGAAAGCUAGGGGAGCAAAUGGG